GGCGAGGUAGCUCAGCCGGUUAGAGCGUCGGAUUCAUAACCCGGAGGUCGGGAGUUCAAGUCUCCCUCUCGCUACAA
rnacentral:tRNA from 4 species